AGCUUCAACUUAGUUAUAAACGCUUAAACGAUAAGAAACUCCAACGUUGUCUCUUGUUUUGUGCACUAUACCCUGAAGACUAGGAGAUUUAUAGAGACAAUUUGAUAGUGCAUUUGAUUGAUGAGGGAGUAAUAAAAAGCAUGAGUAAAAGGCAAGCAAUGCUGGAUAAGGGCCAUACUAUGUUGAAUAAACUUGAAAAUGCCUGCUUAUUAGAAGGUGGGUCCCAUGAUGAGUUUAUUGAAAAAGAGUAUUUUGUGAAGAUGCACGAUCUAAUAAGAGACAUGGCCCUUCAGAUUGCAGGUCCCAAGUUCAUGGUAUCAGAAGAUGUUCCUGAUGAAGAAGAAUGGGGAAAGGAUGUUGAAAAGGUUUCUUUGUUAAGCGACCGUGAAUCAGAGUUUCCUUAUAUAUCACCAAAGUGUCCUAAGCUUUCGACCUUGCUUCUACUAGGAUAUGCAACCAUCCCAGAUUCAUUUUUUGUGCAUUUGCAUGGACUCAAAGUUCUUCAUGUAUUUGGUGGUAGGAUUAAAUCUUUGCCGAAUUCGAUCUCUGACUUGGAGAAUCUUACUUCAUUAAGAGUUUACCGUUGUUUUGAUUUAAAGCGUGUGCCUUCAUUAGCAAAGCUUACAGCAUUAAGGAGCUUGGAUCUUUUGGAAUCUGCAACGAAAGAAAUACCUCAUGGUUUGGAAAAGUUGAUCAAUUUGAGAUACCUCAGUCUUCGUGCAUACAAUCAAGAGAUGCCACCUGGGAUUUUACCCAAACUCUCUCAACUCCAGGUUCUCAAACUUAAUUGUGGGUCAAAUUCUUUAACAGUGAAUGGAGAGGAGAUAGUAAGGUUGAAGAAAUUAGAUUUGUUUAAAGGAAAAUUUUGUGGCUUGAAUGACUUCAAUACAUAUCUUGAAUCCUUAGAGGGAGGACCUAGCCAUUACGUGUAUUGCGCGAGAAAAACAAAGCCAGCUAGCGAGUUGGGUGAAACUGUAAAACUGCUCCCAAAGGACGUUCAGGCCCUAGCAAUUUUCGGAGGUCAGAAUUUAAGAUUUUUUUACAAAUGCAUGAAGUCCGUUUGUAUCAGGGAGUGUGAAGAAAUAGAAGACGUUUUUUCUUAUUCUUUCACCUUUCCUCUUCAAAGCCUUGAGAUUGUACAACUCGUAAAAUUGGAUAAGUUACUGGUACUAUUUAGGGAAGAGAAAGUCACACCAGCACCAAUGGUCCCACCUAGCACCUUUUCCCGUCUCAAAGAAUUUACAAUAUGUGAGUGUCCGAAUAUAAGGCAGCUCUUUGCGCUUGGGGUGCUCCUAAACCUGGCCAACCUGGAACAGAUUACUGUCUUUCGGUGCCUGCAAUUAGAGGAAAUAAUAGCUAGGCCUAAAGCAUCUGAUGAAGUUGACGAAGAAGAAGCAAAAGAAAUUGUAGAAAUAUUCCCCCGAUUGAGGAGAUUGACAUUAGUGAUUUCACCGGAGCUGAAUACCAUAUGCAGUAGCAGUAAUGUAAUACUUUGUGAUUCUCUUGAUUCUAUUGAGAUAGAAGAGUGCCCGAAGCUUAAGAGACUACCUCUUUCUCUACGCCGUAUCAAUGGACAACUAUCUUCUCCGCCUUCUUCAUUACAAAUCAAAAUAGAGAAAGAAAGGUGGGAAUUGCUGGAAUGGGACAAUCAUGAUAUGAAGAUGGUCCUUGAACCUUGUUGUGAGUUCUUAUUUUAAGGCAGUGAAAUCUCAAUGUGGGUGAGAGCAGUUUAACAUGACUCUUCUUCUGGAAGUGAGAGCUCCUUCAGCUUGUCUCAGAUGGCUCUUCAACUCUCAACUCUUCUACGGGGAAUGAGAAUGAAACCAAGCAUGAUGGCUCUAAAUAUGGUAUCCAUAAUUCAGUUGGUACUACAUGGGUAAGUUAAUGACCCCCGUGGGUUGCCCCAGGCACCCCUUCAUUUAUUACCAGUUGUCUUGACAUAUAUCUUUGUAUCGUCCAUUAUUUUGUUGCUUUGACCAUUGAUAUUUGAAAUUUUCAUUUGGUCUCCA